UAGGCUAUCUGUGUAGAGAGAAUGGAGUA
rnacentral:piRNA from 1 species